UCCUCCGGUGGAGAGCUGAGGGGCUUUUUUUGGCGAUGGGAAGAACGAAUGGCAAGAGUGGGUGGUUGGGAACUGUUUCCGUUUCCGGUGUGUAGCUAAGAAUUUAUUAUAGGGAUGGUUAUGUUUCCCGUGAGCGCGUGAGGAGCUAGUUACUGAAAGGUGAUUAACACAGGCAGAUUUUUGGCAAAGAAGAAAGAAAUGGAUAAACAAAACAAGAAGUUCAGAGCCCUGUGGACAACAAAGUUGUUUUUUAAUAGAGGAGAAUUCCAAAUGCCACCAUUGUGGAAUAGCUGCUUCUCCAAAAUAAUACAGUUUAAGCUGCUGUUCUAUUACCAGCACAAAAACACAUUUGACAAUCUCAAGAAGUGUCAAAGGCAGACCAUCUGAAAUGUAGAUUUGUCUCAAGACUCUGAAAGUACUAGCAAGCAUUGAUUAAAGCAAGUUUCAAGCAGCUUGGAAGAUUGAUUUGGAGGGCUGUUCUUUCUCUGACAGUGAAUUCAUUAAAGAGAGCUUACUGGUGACCUGUGGUGAUCUGCCCAGAAAACAGCUUUUCUUCACAAGCCAGACCUUUCAAAAGCUGUUCUAGUCUAGCAAGGUGAUGACUCCAGGUCUUAAUUUUGGGGAGCUAUACAUGCAAGUGAUAAAUACGUUGCUCUGGAGAUAGUUUUUUAGCAAUGUUCACUUAUCAACUGAUGAUAAACAUUACGCCACCCUCCUCCAUUGUAUAUUCAUGAGGAUAAUGAAUUAUGGAAAAAACUCUGAAUAAAUGCCAAGGGGGAGAGAUCAAGUGAUGUGAUGUAGACACUGAAGCUUUCUAGUCAUCAAAGCAAAGAGAAGGGAGUUAUGGUGAAUGGCAUUUCCUCCAUAGGGUUUCCACCAAGCAUUGUUGGCUUAGUGACUUGGGAUUGUGCAAGCUUCCCUGAUUCUAAGUGGUUUAGGCUGAGCCCAGGCUCCUCCUGGGUUGACUCUGUUAAUGGGCAUAUUUUAAAGAAGGGUUGGAUUUAUACCCUUUUGCUCCUGUAAGGAGUCUCAAAGCGGCUUAGAAAUGCCUUCCCUUCCUCUCCCCAUAGUAGACAUCUCGUGGAGUAGGCAGGACUGAGAGACUUCUGAGAAGACACCCAGCAGGCCUCAUAUAUUGGAGUGGGGAAGCAAACCUGGUUCAUCGGAUUCAAGGCUGCUGUUCAUGUGGUUUGCAGUAGAACAGCCAGAUUUGAAUUCAGAGGUGCCUUAGAGACCAACAAGAUUUUCAAGGUAUAAGAUUUUGAGCCCCAUCCAAAGGAUGGGGGGACGAAUCAGUCUGUGGGAGUGAUGAUGUGACUGUGCUAGUGAAUUCAGGGUUGCCAAAGAUGAUCUUGGGCCUCCUUGGUCCAGCACGCCUAAACAAUUGUCAUCUUUUGGGAGCAUGAAUGCAUGCAAUCGAGUUGACGCAGAUCAGGGUGCUGUCUUGCUCGUGCCAUGAGACUCAGACUCUCGACAAACUUCCACUGCUAGUUUGAAACUGAGCUGGAAAGCUGUCUCCUGAAGUGCAAUGUGGUCUGACUGGAGUGGUUUAGAGUCAAGAAUUGUUUGUAAAACGGCUGCUUCAAUGGAAUGUAAGGUUAAGGGACUUGUGAGUUCUCCUCUUCUCGGUUCUGUAACUGAAGAUGGCAUGCCACAAACGCAGCUCGCCAGGAAUGGUCCUAAAGUCUUGCUUAAAACAUUUUUCUGCAAAUGUUGAGCAGUCAGCAAUGGAUUGGGAGGGAACCUAUAGAAUUGCAUCAUGAUUACAUGUUCCACUCCUGCACACUCAAGAUGAAAUCUUACAAAGCUGUCAGGUUCCAGUUUUUGUACUGAAGCUGUCUUCUACAGUCAGAACGUCAGACUAUCAAGAUACGAAGGAAUCGAAACACGAUACAGCCAGUACUGUGGGGUCUACACCUGUUUUCCUACUAAUGGAAAUUCUACAUGCAUUUUGUGAAGGGUGCUAUGCAAAGCCCAGCUGCUGAAGCCAGUUAAGUUUCCUAGGUCUAAGUGAACUUCAUUCAAGUAGGGACAUCUUGCUAGUUAGGAAAGGUGCUGAAGAGAGGCUAGAAAAUAGCCUGAGGUCCCCCUCUUGGAAUUAUUUGGUGUUACUUUCAUACCUUGGAUUGUGUCCAGUAUUUCUGGUGGCGCUAGAAGUAUCAUUCCAGCAGAGGCGCAAGACAUGCAAGGCGGAGCUGUUCCACCGGCCUAUCAUCGAGGCAGAAAUAGUACGGUCUGAGGACGUCUAGGAGCAACUGGCAUCCCUCUCUCUUAUUCCUUUCCCUACCACCAUAUUGGGGUUAUAGCUGCCACCUGGGGGAGUGUACUCUCUCCUGCUCCCUUCUCCGACUAUUUCAGUGGGGUUGAGCCGCCACGUGGGGAGAGUACUGAAUGUUUCUAAUUUAAUGAAUUGAGCUGUUUUAAGGUUACAUGUUAAUUUUUUUAAAAUGUAAACAAAUCGGUACUGAUUGUUUCUUUUAAGUGGUGGACAUUGCCCUGAGCCCAUAAGGGGAAGGACAGCCUAAAAAUUUAAUAAAGGAAGAACACGAAUACAGUACCAUCUUGCGCGAAGUGAAACUUGUUGUUUUCCCCAUUUGUGUUUUCACUUGCACAAGAUUUUGUGCAGCUAUCUACUUGGCAUGACAACAUUUAUUUAUUUGUAUAAUUCAUACCCUGCCUUUUUGCUCUCCUUGGGACCACCGAGUCCGCUAAUAGAUUAAAAGCAUACAUACCAAAGCGUGUCUUGAACCAUUAAAACCAAAGAAGAGCACAGCAUUACAGCAAUUAAAACGUGCAUAGAAAACAUAAAAAUAAUUACAGGUCAGAUUGCUGAGGGGAUGCCAGAUGAAACAUAAAAAGUCUUCACCUGCUGGCAGAAGGUGACAACAGAAGAGGACAGGUGGAUUUUCCUGGGGAGAGAGUUCCAGAGCUUUGGCCCCCUGAUCAAGAGGGCCCUCUCUCAGAUUGCCACCUGCCUAAUCUCAGAAGGUUGGGGCGGGGGUGGGGACACCCAAAUCAGGGCCUACAAAGACGACUACAGUGGUUGGGUUCUUAAGGGGGGGAGCAGUCCGUCAGGUAUAGGACAUUGAAGGUCCGUACCUUGGAUUGUGGCUAGAAAUAAAUAGAGGACCAUUUAGGUAGGCCAAGACUAGAGUAACAUAGCUGCAUGACCUACUUCAGUCAGUAUCUUAGCUACAGCAUACUGCACCAGUUGAAUUUCCAAACCCUUUUCAGGGCAGCUCCAUGUAGAGUGUAAUGCAGUAAUCUAACCUACAGGAAAGUGCUAGGUGUUGCCCAAAAUCACGUGCAGACAGAACCGCUCUAAGUCCACUUAUUUUUCUCUUCUUGCACAUUGCUGGAUUUAAGUCCCCGUCUUCACUUUUCUGUAGGCUGGCUCACAUUUAACAGCCAUUUGGGCCCAAGCCUCAGACCUGCACAUCCCCUCCCCUACUAGGAGACAAUCCCUAUUCCUCUUUUCCUAACAACCCAUCAUUGCAUGCUAGGAAAACCAUAACCGCAAAUUCAUGGUUUGUAGUUACUCUUUCCAGGCACACCGCAGCGUGUCUAACUCAUAUUUAACGACAAAUUCUGGGUCAACAAGAAACUGGGAGAUAGAAUUGCAGCACAUAAAAGAGGGAAAGGAGGGCAUUGCUACAGCCGGCAUCAGCG